rnacentral:lncRNA from 1 species
CAGGUAGGUCUCGUCCACUAUAGAAGGGGCUGCUUGUCCCCUCCUCCUUCUCUUAUUCUUGCUUCUCUCUUGUGCCCUCUUGCUCCCAUCUCUCUCCACAUUCCCUUCUUCCCUCUCUUCUGUGGCCAAGACCAGCCUCUACUUCUCUACUCUCUCCGUCUCCAUGCUUUUCCCUGUCUCUACUACCCUCUUAGCUCCCGCUUCACAGACACUCCUCCCUGCAAAAGGUAUUUAACCUCAGGCCCGUCCUGAGAAAGUGGGGUGUGGUUUCACUCAUCACCACUCUCCGCCAUGACGGUAAACUCCUUAAGACCACGGACUGUCUCUUCUCAUCGGGAUCGGUAGUACUGGAGCAAUGGGCAGGCAUGGACUUGGGUCAUAGGAUGGUGAGGCCUCGCUCCUGAAGCUGACGAAAAGUUUGUUUGUGAGUUUUGAAUCUAAAAAUGGCAGCAACAAUCAAGUUACCACCCAAAACAAAGAACUUGGAAGUAUGGGGGAUGCAAAGAUGGAGACACUGAGUUUGGAGAAAAUAAGAUGGGAUCUAAUCUCUUAUAUCUGGAAUAUUUUCAUGAUCAGAGUAGACUUUAGGUGGGAUAUAUUAGGAAGUCACUAGAAAGCCACUCCAUAGGAAGUUACGGUAGAUUCUUCUUAUGGAUACGAUACUCAGGAUGCUGUCAUCUCCUCGGGUGGACAACUAGAAGGUGGACUAGAAGUCGUUGAUGCUUUGUCAUCAAGAUGGCUCAUGAACUUGCAUAUAUAGACAAGGAACUUGAAAACAAGGUGCUUCAAAAAACUUUGAUUCCAGCUCCAACUAAUAAUUAUAUUCCCAAACCCUUCAUUGCUUGAAUUAGUUUUGUUUUGUUUUGUUUUGGCUCUGGAGACCUCGGGAUCCUUUAUCGGUCUCCCAAACACUGCCUUCCUAGAUCUCUGUUAGUUAUUUUUCCGUUGCUGUGGUAAAGCACCAUGACUAAGGCAACUUACAGAAGAGUUUAUUAUGAGUUCACAGUUCGGUUCCAGAGGGUGAGUCCGUGAUCGUCACGGCAGCAGGCAGCAACAUCUGAAACUGGAGCAAAAAACGAGAGCUUAAAUAUUGACCCAUAAGCAGGAAGCAAAAAAAGCCCAAUUGGGAAUGACUUGAACUUUUGAAACCUCAAAGCACACCCCAGCGACACAUCUCCUCCAACAAGAUCACACCUCCUGAUUAUUCCCAAAUGACAUACCACGAAGCAUUGCAAUAUAGAAGCCUACGGGGCCCAUUCUCAUUCAAACCGCUACAUUUACCCCAAAUGUACAUCAAUAAGAACGUUAUUCUUUCACGUCAAAAUUUCUGUAUUGUCAUAAUGCAAUUCUAUUGGUGCAGGGAGGGGGACAUCAGACUAUUGUACUAUCAAGGUUUUGUUUAAUCUUUCUUUAACCUGAGUUGAAUCAAUGUUUGCGAGAAAAGCACAUGGAGAUCUUGGAUCACUAAGGUGGAAGGCUGCCUGUUAUGGAGGGAAAAUGACUCUUCACGUUUGGGUCAAAGACUAUAUAGAAAACCUUGCGUACUAUUUAACUUAUCCUCGGGUUUUCUAAACUUUGUUCCUAAGGACCACUCUUUCUAUAAGAUUCUACUUAGGAAAAGGUUCUGAAAUCUAAUACAUUUGAAAAAAAAAAACCCAAAAACUAGAUUAUAGGAAUAUGGUAAACAGGUUUAAAUACAUACUUCCUGGAUGAAUCGUCAUGGUAGGGAAAAACAAACAGUUGCCCGAGACACUACCAUUUUGUGGAUUCCACAUUCCCUAGAAUACAGUGCGGGAAGCAUGUCUCAUUCAGCUUCAUAGAGAUAUGAAUCAGCUGGAGGGCUCCAGCUAACAGUUACCACAUUGUUUCUGUACAGAACUCAAGAAGAAAUUAGAUUUCUGCAGCAGACCCUUGUUUGUGGGACUCUUUGUUCAGUGUAAUUUAGCCCAAUUCCUGUCUAAGGGCCUUCUACAAGCCGAACUGUAAAGAAUUGAAAGCCUAGGUGCUUUGCAUUGACACUUAAUUUAUUUUAAUACUUGCCGGUUGUUAUUCAACGUUGUAUGCAUUCUGAUUGUGAUCCCUUUCAACUUUGGCCCCGAGGCAAUUUAAUCAUGAUUGGUUCAAUUGGGUCGAUUAUGAUAUUUGGGAUUCUGCAGACCAUUUGCACCAUUGAGAAGAUUGGAACAAAUGAGUUGGCCACUUUCAGCUCACUCGUAAAAAUUUCCUGCAGGGCUCCUGUGUUCCUAGCUGCUUACAUUAGAUCAACGCUGCACGUGUUUUUCCUGCAUGGAUUUGUGUGCACCAGAAGAAUGCUUGGAGUCGGUGAAAAGGGAAACUGAUGAUCUGGAAUUGGAAUGGCAGAUGGUUGUGAGCCACCAUAUGGAUGCUCAGAACUGAACCUGGGCUCUCUGCAAGAGCAUCAAGUGCUCUUAACCAUUUGCACCAUCUCAGCGACCCCAAAGCUAUGAUGUGUAAGCCACUUAAUAUCAAGAGUAUUCAUCCCUUAGAAUCAAACUUUAUUACAAAGUUGUCAGCAGUGUUUCAGCAUGAGAU